rnacentral:rRNA from 1 species
GAUGAACGCUGGCGGCGUGCCUAAUACAUGCAAGUCGAGCGAACAGAUGAGGAGCUUGCUCCUCUGACGUUAGCGGCGGACGGGUGAGUAACACGUGGAUAACCUACCUAUAAGACUGGGAUAACUUCGGGAAACCGGAGCUAAUACCGGAGAAUAUAUUGAACCGCAUGGUUCAAUAGUGAAAGACGGUUUUGCUGUCACUUAUAGAUGGAUCCGCGCCGCAUUAGCUAGUUGGUAAGGUAACGGCUUACCAAGGCAACGAUGCGUAGCCGACCUGAGAGGGUGGUCGGCCACACUGGAACUGAGACACGGUCCAGACUCCUACGGGAGGCAGCAGUAGGGAAUCUUCCGCAAUGGGCGAAAGCUUGACGGAGCAACGCCGCGUGAGUGAUGAAGGUCUUCGGAUCGUAAAACUCUGUUAUUAGGGAAGAACAAAUGUGUAAGUAACUAUGCACGUCUUGACGGUACCUAAUCAGAAAGCCACGGCUAACUACGUG